UUUUAAUAUAUCUAGUUUUUUAAGAAAUAAAUUUAAUUUAGAUAACUUAUUUUAAUAAUUUAAUUUUAUAAAUUAUUAUAAUGAGUUAUUAAUAUUUUAAGGGAUGAGCUUUAAAAUAAAAUUUUAUAAAUAACUUUUAUUAAGUAAUAAUUGUAAGCUUAGAAUUAGCUAUCAAUAGAAAUUAUGUUUUAAUUUAUUUUUUAAUUAAUAUUAUUUAUUAUUUAUUUUAAAUUUUUUAUUAAAAUAUAAAUUUUAAUCUUUUAAAUUUAUUAAUAAUGAUAAAAUUAGUAAAUUAAAUAAUUAUAUAAAUAAAUCUAUAUUUUGAUUGGUUUUUAUAAUUAAUUCGGCAAAUUUUGUGCUCACCUGUUUAUCAAAAACAUGUCUUUUUGGUUAAUUAAUAUAAAGUCUGACCUGCCCACUGAAUAUAUUUUGAAGGGCCGCAGUAUUUUGACUGUGCAAAGGUAGCAUAAUCAUUAGUCUUUUAAUUGAAGGCUGGUAUGAAUGGUUGGAUGAGGUACAAGCUGUGUCAUAAAAAUUAUUUUUUGAAUUUACCUUUUUAGUCAAAAGGCUAAAAUAAAGUUAAAAGACGAGAAGACCCUAUAGAGCUUUAUAUAAUUUAUAUUUAAAUUAUUAAGAUUUUUUAAAUUUAAUUAUAUUAUUAUAUUUUGUUGGGGUGACAAUAAAAUUUAUAAAACUUUUAUUUUUAUUAAUCAUUUAUUUAUGUUUAUAUGAUCCAGUUUUAUUGAUUAUAAAUUUAAGUUACCUUAGGGAUAACAGCGUAAUUUUUUUUGAGAGUUCUUAUCGACAAAAAAGAUUGCGACCUCGAUGUUGGAUUAAGAGUAAUUUUGGGUGUAGAAGUUCAAAGUUUAAGUCUGUUCUACUUUUAAAUUCUUACAU
rnacentral:rRNA from 1 species